UUUUAUGGAGAGUUUGAUCCUGGCUCAGAGUGAACGCUGGCGGCGUGCCUAAUACAUGCAAGUCGAACGAUGAAGCUUCUAGCUUGCUAGAGUGCUGAUUAGUGGCGCACGGGUGAGUAACGCAUAGGUCAUGUGCCUCUUAGUUUGGGAUAGCCAUUGGAAACGAUGAUUAAUACCAGAUACUCCCUACGGGGGAAAGAUUUAUCGCUAAGAGAUCAGCCUAUGUCCUAUCAGCUUGUUGGUAAGGUAAUGGCUUACCAAGGCUAUGACGGGUAUCCGGCCUGAGAGGGUGAACGGACACACUGGAACUGAGACACGGUCCAGACUCCUACGGGAGGCAGCAGUAGGGAAUAUUGCUCAAUGGGGGAAACCCUGAAGCAGCAACGCCGCGUGGAGGAUGAAGGUUUUAGGAUUGUAAACUCCUUUUGUUAGAGAAGAUAAUGACGGUAUCUAACGAAUAAGCACCGGCUAACUCCGUGCCAGCAGCCGCGGUAAUACGGAGGGUGCAAGCGUUACUCGGAAUCACUGGGCGUAAAGAGCGCGUAGGCGGGAUAGUCAGUCAGGUGUGAAAUCCUAUGGCUUAACCAUAGAACUGCAUUUGAAACUACUAUUCUAGAGUGUGGGAGAGGUAGGUGGAAUUCUUGGUGUAGGGGUAAAAUCCGUAGAGAUCAAGAGGAAUACUCAUUGCGAAGGCGACCUGCUGGAACAUUACUGACGCUGAUUGCGCGAAAGCGUGGGGAGCAAACAGGAUUAGAUACCCUGGUAGUCCACGCCCUAAACGAUGGAUGCUAGUUGUUGGAGGGCUUAGUCUCUCCAGUAAUGCAGCUAACGCAUUAAGCAUCCCGCCUGGGGAGUACGGUCGCAAGAUUAAAACUCAAAGGAAUAGACGGGGACCCGCACAAGCGGUGGAGCAUGUGGUUUAAUUCGAAGAUACACGAAGAACCUUACCUAGGCUUGACAUUGAGAGAAUCCGCUAGAAAUAGUGGAGUGUCUAGCUUGCUAGACCUUGAAAACAGGUGCUGCACGGCUGUCGUCAGCUCGUGUCGUGAGAUGUUGGGUUAAGUCCCGCAACGAGCGCAACCCCCUUUCUUAGUUGCUAACAGGUUAUGCUGAGAACUCUAAGGAUACUGCCUCCGUAAGGAGGAGGAAGGUGGGGACGACGUCAAGUCAUCAUGGCCCUUACGCCUAGGGCUACACACGUGCUACAAUGGGGUGCACAAAGAGAAGCAAUACUGCGAAGUGGAGCCAAUCUUCAAAACACCUCUCAGUUCGGAUUGUAGGCUGCAACUCGCCUGCAUGAAGCUGGAAUCGCUAGUAAUCGCAAAUCAGCCAUGUUGCGGUGAAUACGUUCCCGGGUCUUGUACUCACCGCCCGUCACACCAUGGGAGUUGUGUUUGCCUUAAGUCAGGAUGCUAAAUUGGCUACUGCCCACGGCACACACAGCGACUGGGGUGAAGUCGUAACAAGGUAACCGUAGGUGAACCUGCGGUUGGAUCACCUCCUUUCUAGA
rnacentral:rRNA from 1 species